AUGUGAAUGUUGUUUAUAAUGGUUGCUUGUGUGAUUGGUUGUUGUGAUUCCUAUGAGGAUCCUUGAAUGAGAGCUAGGUUGCUAGAAACAAGUGAAUGCUUAAGAUGAUAAAUAUGUCGUUGGUGACUGAUGUGAAUGCAUGAUGUACGUGAAUGAGAUGUCCUUUGGCAUCAGUGUUGCGUUUGAGAGUGUGAAGUGUAUUGUGUAAAACACCGAUAACGGGUGGCAUCUAAUGAACGUGUUUGAGUCUAAGUUGAAAUGAAUGAGUUAAGGAAAUGAGAAUGAGUAUGAGAAAUGCGAAUGAGAAUGAGAACGUGAACGAGUCAAUGAAUUUGCUUGAUGUCCUAUUUAGACCACCGAGAACGGGUGGGCGUCUAGAGUCUAGGGUGUGUGAGCCUGCGGGACAGUAGCCUAACAC
rnacentral:lncRNA from 1 species